rnacentral:rRNA from 1 species
GACGAACGCUGGCGGCGUGCUUAACACAUGCAAGUCGAACGGACAGGCCCGGCUUUUGUUGGUUGCUCGAUUGGCGAACGGGGGAGUAACACGUGAGUAACCUGCCCUUGACUGUGUGAUAACUUCAGGAAACUGGGGCGAAUACCGGAUAGGAUCUCCUGCUGCAUGGUGUGGGUUGGAAAGUUUCGGCGGUUGGGGCUGGACUCGCGGCUUAUCAGCUUGUUGGUGUGGUAGUUGCUUACCAGGGCUUUGACGGGUAGCCGGCCUGAGAGGGUGACCGGCCACCUUGGGACUGAGAUACGGACCAGAAUCCUACGGGAGGCAGCAGGGGGGAAUAUUGCACAAUGGGGGGACGUCUGAUGUAGCAACGCCGCGUGCGGGAUGACGGCCUUCGGGUUGUAAACCGCUUUCGACUGUGCCGAAGCGUGCGUGACGGUAAUGGGUAAAGAAGCAACGGCUAACUACGUG